rfam:Triticum urartu cultivar G1812 contig283358, whole genome shotgun sequence.
CAAAUACAUCCUCCGUCUUAAAAUUCUUGUCUUAUAUUUGUUAGAUACAGAUGUAUCAAGUCACGUUUUAGUAUUAGAUACAUCUGUAUCUACACAAAUUUAAGACAAGAAUUUUGGGACGGAGGGAGUACAAG